UUCAAAGAAAGCAUCUCAUCUUCUUGAUGGCAUUAAAUCGGAUACUUUUCUUCUCAGAUUCACUUACAUGUUCAGGACAGCUCGCCUUACUAGGUUCGUGGCAUCUCAGGCCACUUACAAGCUGCUUUUCACACAGCCUCUUUCUCCUGUCUUUUCUUCAGAUCCGUUAUCCUGAAGAUGCCUGAUAUGCAGCUCCUAAUCUCAUCUCUCUAGCUUUCCAUUUCAUCUCUAAAGCCUUUGCUUCUUCAUGCUCAUACUUCGAGUUUCUUCAUUUAUUAUAUUGGGACCUUCACACGUGGUACCCACUUUCUGUUAUUUAAAACAUGUCACAGGGCACAUCUCUGGAUUAGGACUUUUCCUGUUCUGUCAUACUGGCAGCCUCCACAGAAAGCAUUCUUCAAUUUUAAAUAGACUUCUUCUUACUUCUCACAUUCUGGUGUGAAGAUUAUGAAAAUGCCAGCUGACUUUCCCCAAAGAUGUUUUCCAAGGCCUCAUGAAACGUACUCUCUCUGUGGCCUGGACCACUGGAACACAAGACCAUGACUUAGUGACUCCGUACGCAGCAGCACUGCCUGAAGGGGCUUUGAAGGGCACCUGUCUCCCUCCUGAGGAACCUGCGCCCAUCCUGCAGCGAGGACCCCUCGGCUGAGGACAGGGAGCACUUCUCACACCCUGGGUGGAAAGCAGUGGGCGGGCCAGCCUCUCUUGCUGCACAGAUUCUCCAGGAAAGCACGACAGGCUGGGUCUGGGAGACGGGCCCAGGAGGCCCGGCCCUUACCCCGACUGAGGCAGCACCGGGUCCCUCUGGAAGCUAUGGUGAGCCAGCUGUCUCUUUAACAGCCUUCUCCAGCAAGCAUUCAAGUCAGAAAGUAUUCACAUUGUUUUGCAUAUGAUCAGCUUGUGUUCUGACUAGAAAGGGGCAUUACACAGUGGAGGAAGGAGGAAGAAGAAAGAAACAAGAAAGAAAAAGGAUUUUCUUCCGUUAGGCACAGAAAACGGAAUGAUGGCUUUAGAACAGCUCCUCUGAGCCAGAACAGACGCAUACAGCAGUGUGAGCUAUAAUACCAGCACCAGGGCAGAGAAGAAAGGCUCCUGGUGAAGAGGCCCAGCUUAAGGCAAGGCAGCCAGCACACACGACAGUUAGCACCUUCAGGACUAACCGGGUAUCACCUAGUUUCUGUGACAUCGUUACCAUAAUGUAAACACUAAAAAGACCAUUAAAAUAGGAUCCAAAUUUA